AACGUAGGAGGCAAGCGUUAUCCGGAUUUACUGGGCGUAAAGCGCGUGCAGGUGGUCGUAUAAGUGGUGCGUGAAAGCUCCCAGGCUAAACCGGGAGAGGGCGUGCCAGACUGUAGGACUAGAGAGAGACAGAGGCAAGGAGAAUUCCGGGUGUAGUGGUGAAAUGCGUAGAGAUCCGGAGGAAUACCAGAGGCGAAGGCGCUUG
rnacentral:rRNA from 1 species